rnacentral:rRNA from 1 species
AGUCGAACGAACCCUUCGGGGUUAGUGGCGCACGGGUGCGUAACGCGUGGGAACCUGCCUUUAGGUUCGGGAUAACAGUUAGAAAUGACUGCUAAUACCGGAUAAUGUCUUCGGACCAAAGAUUUAUCGCCUUUAGAUGGGCCCGCGUUAGAUUAGAUAGUUGGUGGGGUAAUGGCCUACCAAGUCGACGAUCUAUAGCUGGUCUGAGAGGAUGAUCAGCCACACUGGGACUGAGACACGGCCCAGACUCCUACGGGAGGCAGCAGUGGGGAAUAUUGGACAAUGGGCGAAAGCCUGAUCCAGCAAUGCCGCGUGAGUGAUGAAGGCCUUAGGGUUGUAAAGCUCUUUUACCAGGGAUGAUAAUGACAGUACCUGGAGAAUAAGCUCCGGCUAACUCCGUGCCAGCAGCCGCGGUAAUACGGAGGGAGCUAGCGUUGUUCGGAAUUACUGGGCGUAAAGCGCGCGUAGGCGGCUUUUCAAGUCAGGGGUGAAAUCCCGGGGCUCAACCCCGGAACUGCCCUUGAAACUGGAUGGCUAGAAUACUGGAGAGGUGAGUGGAAUUCCGAGUGUAGAGGUGAAAU